GGGGACAGAGAGAGGGAGAAAGGGAGAGAGAGGGAGGAAGAGCAAGAGAGAGAGAGAGAGAAAGAGGGACAGAGAGAGAGACAGAUAGAGAGAGAGGGACAGAGAGGGACAGAGAGAGGCAGGAAGGGAGAGAGAGAGGAAGGGAGAGAGACAGAGUGUGAAAGUGAUUGUAGAAGUGUCAGUGGAUGGAUGGUAAUGUAGUAAUGUUGGUAGAGAGUGUUAUAGAGAGGUAACAGAGGUAACAUAUUGUUAUAGAUAGAUAACAGAGUGUUAUAGAGAGGUAAAAUAGUGUUAUAGAGAGGUAACAGAGAGUUAUAGAGAGGUAACAGAGUGUUAUAGAGAGGUAACAGAGUGUUAUAGAGAGGUAACAGAGUGUUAUAGAGAGGUAACAGAGUGUUAUAGAGAGGUGUGUGUUACAGAGAGGUAACAGAGUGUUACAGAGUGUUAUAGAGAGGUAACAGAGUGUUAUAGAG
rnacentral:lncRNA from 1 species